rnacentral:rRNA from 1 species
GGUUAAGUCAGGCAACGAGCAAGACCCGUGCCCACAGUUGCCAGCAUACCCUCUGGGGUGAUGGGCACACUGUGGGGACCGCCGCUGCUAAAGCGGAGGAAGGCGCGGGCUACGGUAGGUCAGUAUGCCCCGAAUCAUCCGGGCUACACGCGGGCUACAAUGGUUGGGACAAUGGGCACCUACACCGAGAGGUGAUGGUAAUCUCCUAAACCCAGCCUUAGUUCGGAUUGAGGGCUGCAACUCGCCCUCAUGAAGCCGGAAUCCGUAGUAAUCGCGUAUCAAUAUCACGCGGUGAAUACGUCCCUGCUCCUUGCAC